CCUCUCUCAGGAUCGCAUCUGGUGAGUUUCCAGUACUCUACCAGUCUUGGCUUCAGGAGGGAGAGUUAAGCAGAAGCACAGUCAUUCCAUUCCUAGCUUGGCCAGUGGCUAGCGAAUGGAAGGCAAUCCGCUGUACAU